AGUCUCCAGUCUGCUGAUCCGAAAGAAAGAAGGCGUUUUUGGAGGACUUAAUCAUCGCGAGUCGAGCUGCUGCUGAACCUCCCCUUCCAACAUCCAGCAGGUUUGUUCUGCAGGCCCCGAUGAUGGCACAGGCAUGAAAGAGCCCAGAGCUCGUCGCUGGGGAGAGGCUGCGUAUGGCGUUGUGAAGGGAGAGAUGGAGGAGGGGUUUGAGCAGCGCUGUGCAGGAAUGAACGGCUGGCAGGAGUCGGGCAGCGGUACUGCAGCUCCUCUGGCAGCUUUGCAGCUCAGUUGGGAAGCAGAAGAUGUGGAUGUGAAAGAAGAAGUCCGUUGCUGGGACGUUCCCCUGUUCUUCCCCCAGCUGUCCCCUUGCCUCAGCCUGGAUUCCCCUUGCGUUCCUGUAGGAUUCCCUUCCAUCCCCCUGGCUGCCCCUUGCUUUCCCCAAGGCUGCCCUUUCCUUUCUCAUGACAGCCCACCCAUCAUUCCCUCAGAGCCCCAAUAUCCCUCCCAGUGUUUCCCAGCAAGACCCCUAGAGACACCCUGUAGCCCCCCACAGAGCCCUGGAGCCCCUCAGGACCCCCUCAGACCCAGUACACCUCCCCCGUAGCUGGCCCAUACCCACAUGGAGCCCCACAGUCCCCAGCAGCACCCCAUGUCCCCCACUGGGCUUCCCCGGAAUCCUCCUAUUUCCUCCCUCAGACCUCCUUUACACCUCCAAGAUCCCCCCUGGGAACUCACUGACCCCCAUGGUCCCUUGACAGGACCCCCAUCACCAUCCCAGGGACCCCAUAGCCCACCUUUGGCCUCUCCUCCCCCUGACCUGCCUCCAGAUCCCGUACAACCUCACAGUGCUGUGGCAUGGAUGGCUUCUGCAGCUGACUUGGAUUUCUUCUGCCACUGUCCCGUGAAGGAGUUGAUUUGCUUCAGUCCAUCCCUGCUCCAUUCCUGGCUCGGGUAUCCAUCAUGGCCACGCAGCACUGCAGCAGCCAAGCUCCAAUCCCUUCCCCGGUCUCAGUGGGAUCAGUUUGUUCUGUUCUCAUCCACUUACAGAAACAGAAGCUACCAACCCACCAAACCCUGGGACAGGUAUUUCCCUACAGAAGCAUUCAUGUCCUUCUGCUGGCCCCUUUGGCCAGCUCCCAGCUCUCCAAACUGAGCCGUACGGCUGCAGCCCACCCCAUGGCUUCUCUGGGGCAGCUGUGGGGCAGCCCCACCCUGAGGAGGAGAUGCCUUUUCCUAGCAUGCAGCUGGUUCUAUGGCCACAUGGGGUGAGGACGUGGGGUCGUGGGUCACAUAGGGGUCCUGCAGGGUCACCGAGUUACAGGGUGAUGUGGGGCUAUGGGGUCAGAUGGGGUUCUGAAUCACAGUGAUAGGGUCAGAUUGGAUGGUAGGGACAGAUGGGGUGACAUGGAGUUACGGAUCACAUGGGUUGUAUGGUUGGGGUGAGGUGGGGGCAAGGAUCCCAGAUUUAUGGGCCACAUGGCGUCAGUACGCAGCAUGAUGGGGGCAGGCAGAGUCAGGGAGUCACAGGGUCAUGUGGGGGUAUGGUUCCCAUCAGGGCUGUGGGUCACGUGCAGCCAUGGGGUCACGCACAUACAGGGCGAUGAGGUCAUCUUGGGUUAUGGCUCAUGUGGGGUUACGGCUCAGGGCCCCACCUUUGGGCCACACGGACGCCCAGUCCCCUCUCAGGAUGAAAUGAAACCACUGCAAACUCUGCCCACCCCCCCCCCCCCUUUUACCUCAAACCGCUCCCCACAUCCUCCCAUACUCUCUACGUCCCCAUACUACCCCAUGCCCCUGUGUCCCACCUGCAGCCCACGUCUUGUUUUCUCCUGAACAGCGUUCUGCUCCUGCAGCCUGUGUUCCCACAUCCCUUAAUGUCCCUAUAUCCUCCAAACACACCCCCAGAGAGCCCUAUAGCUCCUCAAGGACCUUCUCAGACUCAGCACAUCUCCCCACAGACAAGCUGGGCCAUCACAGGCUUCUGCAGUCCCCAGCAGCAGCACACAUCCCCCUCUGAGCUCACAGUGAACCCCCUUGUUUUCUUCCUCAGACCUCCCUUACGCCCUCAGUCCUCUCUUGGGAUCUCAGAGUUCCACAGUCCGUGACAGGACCCCAAUACUAUCCCAGGAUCCCCAUAUCCCAUCCGACGAGGAACCCCACAGCAAAACACAUCUCUGGAUGGGGCUCCAGUGGUGCACCAAUGCAUUCAUUAAAGAGAGGAGAAUGAAUGAGCGUAAAGGGGGGCCUUUCCUCCUGACGUUGCCCACCGCCUGUGUGUUGGCUGUGCCAUGCCAGCAGCAUUUUGUCCUCGAGCUGUGAGUGCAGGUAUGCGUGCAUACGGGUGUGUGCAGAGAUGGUGCUGAACAUCAGAGCGUGCAUUGCGCUUGGCUGUGUGCACAGUGCUUGCAGGUGAAAGUUUUGCAUCUGUGUGCAUGCACAUGGCAGUGUGCAAGGCUGGAGCAGUGGUCGAGUCUUCGUGCUCGUGGGUGUGCAGAGGGAUGGGGUGCACGCAUGUGAACACAGCGCCAUGGGAGGCACUGCAAAGGAAACAGCUCCAUCCCAGCCACAACAGUGACAGGCAGGCAGGCACUGGGGAGGGCUGCUCGGCAGAGGGACGCCCUCUGAGUGCCACAACAUGGAGCGCUGUCUGCAAGCAGAACAGUGCCAGGAUGGCAGCCUGGUGGUCCUAAGCUGCAGAGAUGCUGCUCUGGACCAACAGCCUGUCAUUU